UAAGGGAUAUUGCGCAAUGGGCGCAAGCCUGAUGCAGCAACGCCGCGUGCCCGAUGAAGGCCUUCGGGUCGUAAAGGGCUUUUCUGGCUGAAGAGGAAGGACAGUAAGCCAGGAAUAAGUGUCGGCUAACUACGUGCCAGCAGCCGCGGUAAAACGUAGGACGCAAGCGUUAUCCGGAGUUACUGGGCGUAAAGCGCGGGCAGGCGGUUGCUCAAGUCUGAUGUGAAAUCUCUCCGCUCAACGGGGAGCAGCCAUUGGAAACUGGGCGACUGGAGUCUGGCAGAGGUAGGCGGAAUUCCGGGUGGAGUGGUGAAAUGCGUAGAGAUCCGGAGGAACACCAGAGGCGAAGGCGGCCUACUGGGCCAGUACUGACGCUGAGCCGCGAAAGCCAGGGGAGCGAACGGGAUUAGAAACCCCGGUAGUCCUGGCCGUAAACGAUGUGUGCUGGGUGGUGGGGGGUUUCCCUUCACUGCCGAAGCCAACGCGAUAAGCACACCGCCUGGGGAGUACGGUCGCAAGGCUAA
rnacentral:rRNA from 1 species